rnacentral:rRNA from 1 species
GUGGGGAAUCUUCCGCAAUGGACGAAAGUCUGACGGAGCAACGCCGCGUGAGUGAUGAAGGUUUUCGGACUGUAAAGCUCUGUUGUUUAGGACGAAAGUGCCUGUUGCGAACAGUUACAGGUAUUGACGGUACUAAACGAGGAAGCCACGGCUAACUACGUGCCAGCAGCCGCGGUAAUACGUAGGUGGCAAGCGUUGUCCGGAAUUAUUGGGCGUAAAGAGCAUGUAGGCGGAGAUUUAAGUCUGUUGUGAAAAUGCGGGGCUCAACCCCGUAUUGCGAUGGAAACUGAAUUUCUUGAGUGCAGGAGAGGAAAGGGGAAUUCCCAGUGUAGCGGUGAAAUGCGUAGAUAUUGGGAGGAACACCAGUGGCGAAGGCGCCUUUCUGGACUGUGUCUGACGCUGAGAUGCGAAAGCCAGGGUAGCGAACGGGAUUAGAAACCCUUGUAGUCC